AAGGCGUGGGGAGCAAACAGGAUUAGAGACCCUGGUAGUCCACGCCGUAAAACGAUGAGUACUUGGUGGUGGAGGAUUCGACCCCUUCACUGUCGGGAGCUAACGCGUUAAGUACUCCGCCUGGGGAACUACGACCGCAAGGUUGAAACUCAAAGGAAAUGACGGGGACCCGCACAAGCGGUGGAUUAUGUGGUUUAAUUCGAUGCAACGCGAAGAACCUUACCUGGACUUGACAUGUUAGUGAAACUCCGUUGAAAGCCAGAGCCUCCUUGAGCUUGCUUAAGGACACUUUCACAGGUGAUGCAUGGCUGUCGUCAGCUCGUGUCGUGAGAUGCUCGGUUAAGUCCGAUAACGAGCGCAACCCCUAUCCUUAGUUGCCAGCACAUAAUGGUGGGGACUCUAGGGAAACUGCCCGGGAUAACCGGAAGGAAGGUGGGGUCGACGUCAAGUCAGUAUGUCCCUUACGUUCAGGGCUACACACGUAAUACAAUGGGGAGUACAGAGGGUAGCAAAGCUGCGAAGUGGAGCCAAUCCCAAAAAACUUCCCCAAGUUCGGAUUGCAGUCUGCAACUCGACUGCAUGAAGCAGGAAUCGCUAGUAAUCGCGCAUCAGCAUGGCGCGGUGAAUACGUUCCCGGGUCUUGUACACACCGCCCGUCACGCCAUGGAAGCUGGUAGCACCCAAUGUCAGUGUCUUAACCUUCGGGAAGGAGCUGCUUAAGGUGAAAUUGGUAACUGGGGCGAAGUAGUAGGCAAGGUAUCC
rnacentral:rRNA from 1 species